rnacentral:misc_RNA from 1 species
GGAAGCAGAAUCAAACUAUUUUUUUAUCCAUUAAAAUAAAAACAGAGAAUCAAACGGUUCAGAUUCACUUUAUUUUUCUUCUGAAUUCCAAUUUGUUCUUCAAAAUCAAAAUAUGUUGGGGAAAAGGGGCCGUCCACCGAUGAGGAGAACGACGAGCAUGACAGGGAUCACCGUUGAUGUAGGUACUGGAACUGAAUCGGAGCCGUCUGAUUGUAAUAAGCCUAAAAUUACGGUGGAUGAGAUUAAGAGUUCGUCGGUAAUCAUGGGUGGAUAUAGUUCUGUGCCGGCGAUGGUGUCACCGAGAUACCAACGGAGAAUCUCCGGCGAAGGUUUUGAAAGAGAAAGGGCUAAUUUUCUGAGAAUUUGUGGCCGUUGUAACCGCCGAUUGAUUAAUGGACGAGAUAUCUACAUGUACAGGGGUGAUGCAGCAUUUUGUAGUAUAGAGUGUAGA